rnacentral:lncRNA from 1 species
AGGUCUAUAUUAAGAAUCGUUUCCUAAAUUGUCACAAAGCUUGUUAAAUGUUUUGUAAUAGUGUUAUUCUUUUCAUUGUUUGUAUUUUACUUUUUUCCCUUUUUUCAUGCUGUAGAAGUAAUAUACACUAAGGCGAUAAAUAAAUGUAAUGUGUAUAUGCUAUUACUAAUAGAAAAUUAAGUUGUUUAAGUGAAUGUUGUUAUACUAAUGAAUUUUUUGUUUAUAAUAUUAUAUAUCAUC